UUCCUUGGAAAAGGACAGCUGAGAGGGUGAAACUCCCGUCCGCCUGGUAGAAUGAGUCUUUGUCAACGAGUCGAGUUGUUUGGGAUUGCAGCUCUAAUUUGGUGGUAAGUUCCAUCUAAAGCUAAAUAUUGGUGGGAGACCGAUAGCGUACAAGUACCGUGAGGGAAAGAUGCAAAGAACUUUGAAAAGAGAGUUAAAGAGUACCUGAAAUUGCUGAAACGGAAGCGAAGGAAACCAGUGUUUGUUGGUUCAUAUUUCCUUAGCCACUUGUGGUUUGGGCG
rnacentral:rRNA from 1 species